CAGCAGUCGCCGCGGUAAUACGUAGGUGGCAAGCGUUGUCCGGAAUUAUUGGGCGUAAAGGGCUCGCAGGCGGUUUCUUAAGUCUGAUGUGAAAGCCCCCGGCUCAACCGGGGAGGGUCAUUGGAAACUGGGAAACUUGAGUGCAGAAGAGGAGAGUGGAAUUCCACGUGUAGCGGUGAAAUGCGUAGAGAUGUGGAGGAACACCAGUGGCGAAGGCGACUCUCUGGUCUGUAACUGACGCUGAGGAGCGAAAGCGUGGGGAGCGAACAGGAUUAGAACCCCUGUAGUUCCUGUCUCUUAUACA
rnacentral:rRNA from 1 species